ensembl:lncRNA novel transcript, antisense to SNCAIP
CCCCCUUCCUUGCUUCUUGGCCUCUCCCCCUGGAAAUCGCCCCCUCACCGUGAUCCAAGCGUUAACCGCUGCCAUCUCAUUGGUCCCCAGACCAUUCCAGGGUUCCAGCAUAAACUGGGAGAAGAGACUCGGGAAGGCGGGGAACGGAAGGUGGGCAUUGCCCUGGGAAACUCAUGUCUGAGAAGCCUUUUGGCAGAGUAUUUUGCGUUGGCACGGAGUCUUCACCCCCACCCCUCCCCCCGAAGCUCGCCCACCCCUGAGGACGUGGCCAAGGAGAGGAGGGCAAGGGUGGCUUUGCCUGCCUGGAAUGUUCUGUGCUCAAGUGUGGGUGGAUGGAGAAGAUGUUAGGCUGAAAUAAAGACUUUUUAAUUCAACGA